GAUGAAGAACGCAGUGAAAUGCGAUAAGUAAUGUGAAUUGCAGAAUUCAGUGAAUCAUCGAAUCUUUGAACGCAUCUUGCGCUCCUUGGUAUUCUGAGGAGCAUGCCUGUUUGAGUGUCAUUAAAUUCUCAACUACACUGACUUUGAAUUGGUGUGGCUUGGAUUUGGGGGGAAAAUUGUUGUGGGCUUUUUGUAUAGUCUGCUCCCCUGAAAUUGAUUAGCGGUACCUUUGUGGAACUGUCUACAGUUGUGAUAAUUAUCUACAUCUUAGACAUCUGCUGGAAUGCUGCUUUCUAAACCUUACUUGUAUUGACAAUCUUGACCUCAAAUCAGGUAGGACUACCCGCUGAACUUAAGCAUAUCAAUAAGCGGAGGA
rnacentral:misc_RNA from 1 species